UACGAGGGGGGCGAGCGUUGUUCGGAAUUAUUGGGCGUAAAGGGUGCGUAGGCGGUUUGGUAAGUCUUAUGUGAAAUCUAUGGGCUCAACUCAUAGACUGCAUGAGAAACUGCCGGGCUUGAGUAUGGGAGAGGUGAGUGGAAUUCCUGGUGUAGCAGUGAAAUGCGUAGAUAUGCGGAGGAACACCGAUGGCGAAGGCAAUCCCCUGGGCCUGCACUGACGCUCAUGCACGAAAGCGUGGGGAGCAAACAGG
rnacentral:rRNA from 1 species